GCGGAGAUCGCCUAGCCCGGUAUGGCGCUCUUCUUAUGAAAGAGUGCGUCCACAGCGUGCGUGGGUUCGAAUCCCACUCUCCGCG
rnacentral:tRNA from 1 species